rnacentral:tRNA from 1 species
AAUAGAGACUCACUAUGAGUAUGCUAACUUAAUACAAAUCAUUGUGCUGAUAGAAUAUUUUGAUCAGUACACAUGCAUGAAAUAGAAUACAAUCCGACCUUAGCUCAGUUGGUAGAGCGGAGGACAGUAGAAGACGCAGAUUAUCCUUAGGUCAUAGGUUCGAAUCCGGUAGGUCGGAAUUUGCUCCCACAUGAGAGCUUUUUAUUUUUCUUUUGUUGUGACAUUAAGGUGUUUGAAUUUUAUAAUAAACGGUUAUAUGCAUAAUUAUAUUCAAAUGCUUGUGGGUUGUGCCUAUAAGUUGUCAACGUUCAUACAAGGGUAGUGAAAUAACCUUUCCCACUCUGUUGCACGAUUUGUUUGGCUUUAUUUU